rnacentral:rRNA from 1 species
GUCGAGGGGCAGCAUGAUUGAAGCUUGCUUCAAUUGAUGGCGACCGGCGCACGGGUGAGUAACACGUAUCCAACCUUCCGCUGACUCGGGGAUAGCCUUUCGAAAGAAAGAUUAAUACCCGAUGGCAAAGGACUUCCGCAUGGAUAUCCUUUUAAAGGAUUCCGGUCAGCGAUGGGGAUGCGUUCCAUUAGAUAGUUGGCGGGGUAACGGCCCACCAAGUCGACGAUGGAUAGGGGUUCUGAGAGGAAGGUCCCCCACAUUGGAACUGAGACACGGUCCAAACUCCUACGGGAGGCAGCAGUGAGGAAUAUUGGUCAAUGGGCGAGAGCCUGAACCAGCCAAGUAGCGUGAAGGAAGACUGCCCUAUGGGUUGUAAACUUCUUUUAUACGGGAAUAAAGUCAUCCACGUGUGGAUGUUUGUAUGUACCGUAUGAAUAAGGAUCGGCUAACUCCGUGCCAGCAGCCGCGGUAAUACGGAGGAUCCGAGCGUUAUCCGGAUUUAUUGGGUUUAAAGGGAGCGUAGGCGGGCUUUUAAGUCAGUUGUGAAAGUUUGCGGCUCAACCGUAAAAUUGCAGUUGAUACUGGAAGCCUUGAGUACAGUAUAGGCAGGCGGAAUUCGUGGUGUAGCGGUGAAAUGCUUAGAUAUCACGAAGAACUCCGAUUGCGAAGGCAGCUUGCUGGACUGUAACUGACGCUGAUGCUCGAAAGUGUGGGUAUCAAACAGGAUUAGAUACCCUGGUAGUCCACACAGUAAACGAUGGACACUCGCUGUUGGCGAUAUACGGUCAGCGGCUUAGCGAAAGCGUUAAGUGUCCCACCUGGGGAGUACGCCGGCAACGGUGAAACUCAAAGGAAUUGACGGGGGCCCGCACAAGCGGAGGAACAUGUGGUUUAAUUCGAUGAUACGCGAGGAACCUUACCCGGGCUUGAA